AGCUGUUUGCUAUCCAAGGAAUUAACCAUGGAGUUGCAUGUCAUAGUAGCAAUUGUGAGUUUGUUUGCAGGAUCCUGUCAAGAAGUCAUGGUAAACCCCAUCAUGAUCAAUAAUGAGACUUUGCUUGCAUCUAGGCAUUCAGUUAAGAAAUGAUGUUUUCCCAACCAAGGCUAGCUUCCCAAAAGUUGUUUGAUAGUAUACAGGCAUGAGAUGGUGUGACUCUAACUCAUUAGAUGCCUUCGUCUUUUCAGUCAUCAUGUGAUGGAAAGAAAUCUAUCAACUUCAUUCCUCAGACUUCCUGCAACACAGCUCCUGAUACACAUCUGGUCAGAACCAUGGUACCCCUCCACAAUCCAUGCCAGGAAAAUGGAUGUCUACUCCCUGCCUUUCUUCCCAUUGUUUGGGGACUUUUCCUUAGUUCAGCUGAAGAUGGGGUCCUUGUCACAUGGCCAUGAAAAUUGAGGCUUGCAGAUGAUUUGAAGGAAAUCCAAACAAAAGCUUUAGAAGAAACACCUGGAAAAAUAGUAUGUCCACUUUGAAAAUGCAGAAAUACAGGCAUAAUACAAUGGUGAAAUUUA